GGGUCGUUAGCUCAGUCGGUAGAGCAGUUGACUUUUAAUCAAUUGGUCGCUGGUUCGAAUCCAGCACGACCCACCG
rnacentral:tRNA from 1 species